CCUCCCCGCCGGAAGACCAAGGGUUCCUGUCCAACGUUAAUCGGGGCAGGGUAAGUCGACCCCUAAGGCGAGGCUGAAAAGCGUAGUCGAUGGGAAACGGGUUAAUAUUCCCGUACUUCUUACAAUUGCGAUGGGGGGACGGAGAAGGCUAGGUGGGCCUGGCGACGGUUGUCCAGGUUCAAGUGCGUAGGCUGAGUGUUUAGGUAAAUCCGGAUACUCUUAAGGCUGAGACACGACGUCGAGCUACUACGGUAGUGAAGUCAUUGAUGCCAUGCUUCCAGGAAAAGCCUCUAAGCUUCAGAUUGUAAGGAAUCGUACCCCAAACCGACACAGGUGGUCGGGUAGAGAAUACCAAGGCGCUUGAGAGAACUCGGGUGAAGGAACUAGGCAAAAUGGUACCGUAACUUCGGGAGAAGGUACGCUCUUGAUGGUGAAGUCCCUUGCGGAUGGAGCUGACGAGAGUCGCAGAUACCAGGUGGCUGCAACUGUUUAUUAAAAACACAGCACUGUGCAAAAUCGUAAGAUGACGUAUACGGUGUGACGCCUGCCCGGUGCCGGAAGGUUAAUUGAUGGGGUUAGCGCAAGCGAAGCUCUUGAUCGAAGCCCCGGUAAACGGCGGCCGUAACUAUAACGGUCCUAAGGUAGCGAAAUUCCUUGUCGGGUAAGUUCCGACCUGCACGAAUGGCGUAAUGAUGGCCACGCUGUCUCCACCCGAGACUCAGUGAAAUUGAAAUCGCUGUGAAGAUGCAGUGUACCCGCGGCUAGACGGAAAGACCCCGUGAACCUUUACUACAGCUUGGCACUGAACAUUGAACCUACAUGUGUAGGAUAGGUGGGAGGCUUUGAAGACGUGACGCCAGUUGCGUUGGAGCCGUCCUUGAAAUACCACCCUUGUAUGUUUGAUGUUCUAACGUUGGCCCCUAAUCGGGGUUGCGGACAGUGCCUGGUGGGUAGUUUGACUGGGGCGGUCUCCUCCCAAAGAGUAACGGAGGAGCACGAAGGUGGGCUAAUCACGGUUGGACAUCGUGAGGUUAGUGCAAUGGCAUAAGCCCGCUUAACUGCGAGAAUGACGGUUCGAGCAGGUGCGAAAGCAGGUCAUAGUGAUCCGGUGGUUCUGAAUGGAAGGGCCAUCGCUCAACGGAUAAAAGGUACUCCGGGGAUAACAGGCUGAUACCGCCCAAGAGUUCAUAUCGACGGCGGUGUUUGGCACCUCGAUGUCGGCUCAUCACAUCCUGGGGCUGAAGUCGGUCCCAAGGGUAUGGCUGUUCGCCAUUUAAAGUGGUACGCGAGCUGGGUUUAGAACGUCGUGAGACAGUUCGGUCCCUAUCUGCCGUGGGCGUUGGAAGAUUGAAGGGGGCUGCUCCUAGUACGAGAGGACCGGAGUGGACGAACCUCUGGUGUUCGGGUUGUGUCGCCAGACGCAUUGCCCGGUAGCUAAGUUCGGAAUCGAUAACCGCUGAAAGCAUCUAAGCGGGAAGCGAGCCCUGAGAUGAGUCUUCCCUGAUACUUUAAGUAUCCUGAAGGGUUGUUCGAGACUAGAACGUUGAUAGGCAGGGUGUGUAAGCGCUGUGAGGCGUUGAGCUAACCUGUACUAAUUGCCCGUGAGGCUUAACCAUACAACACCCAAAGGGUUUUG
rnacentral:rRNA from 1 species